AACGCCACCUCCGAUUCUGUCAUCUGGCUGUGGGAGGUUGUGGUGUGGCAGGGCUUCGGCCAGCGCGGCAGGCUGGGGGACAUCGGUGUCUCCUUCCCAGGUAGAAUCAAGGCUGUCACUAGGUUGACCGAGACUCACAGUCCCACUGCUCCAGGACUUUGUGGGGCUGUGUUCAACAGAUGGAUGGGCCGUAGAGUAUUCAGAAGACAGGUCCAGCGGCUGACUGUGCCUGGAGAGCCAGGGCAGAGGCAAGGUGGAACCGUCUGGGCUGCUCACAUCAUCAGCUUCCGUCUCUGGAAAGACAGGUCAUUCAUCGCUGAGUACAUCUUAGGUCUUGUAAUGCCACCUGAGUCACUUCAGGACCUCAUGAUGUGUGGAUGGCAAGAACCUAGACACAUCCCACGCAGCCAGGUGGGGAAACUAAGGCUAGGGUGGAGAGUGGACUGGCAUGGAAGAAGCUGAGAAGUCCCUCCAAGCUGGCCUCCUGGCAAUAGGAGCAGAACCAUUGGAGCAGAUGAAGAGUGUCAACAUCCCCUCGGAUGACUGGGGUUCCGAAGAAUCCUUAGAAUAAGCCUAAACCCUGAACUGAACAAUCCAAGUUACCAAAGACAGGAUGGUGCCCAAGCCCAGCGCCUCCUGCGGGGCCCUUGCCCCAGGCCUGGCCCAGCCCAGUGUGCCUCUGUCCCUGAGCUGGCCAUGGGGCUUGGCCUAGCUUCACCUGGGCCACUUCAUCUUCAGGAGACAGAGCUGCAGCUGCGGGUCCAAGUCACAGGUGGCUCCCUUCAGCACCAGCCAUCCUGCCUGGGGCCUAUUGGGAUACAACCAAUGGAUAACAUCAAUCCUCAGGGCCUCCCACCAUCCAGCCAGCAAUUUACCAUCAAGAUCCCCAGAGGCAGGUAGCCCUCUGCUGUGUGACCCUGGGUGACUCACUGUCUUCAUUUGUCAUCAAUGAGGCUAGCAGGAAGCUUGACUGAUAUCUGCCUUCCCAUCUCAUUGGUAAAACCAAGGCUCAGAACCGUGACUCAGUCGGGAUCACCUGGUCAGUAAGCAGAGGUGACUCACCAGAGCUCAGUCCCGGCCCAGGGCUCUCUUCGUUGGUUUUGUUUGGUUUUGUAACCACAUAUCCCCAACACUAAAAAUCUGUACACCUAUA